GCUGGCGGCGUGCCUAACACAUGCAAGUCGAACGAAGCACCGGAGUUCCUCGGAACAAAGGUGACUGAGUGGCGGACGGGUGAGUAACGCGUGGGUAACCUGCCUCACACAGGGGGAUAACAGCUGGAAACGGCUGCUAAUACCGCAUAAGCGCACAGUACCGCAUGGUACGGUGCGAAAAGUUUUUCGGUGUGAGAUGGACCCGCGUCUGAUUAGCUAGUUGGCGGGGUAACGGCCCACCAAGGCGACGAUCAGUAGCCGGCCUGAGAGGGUGGACGGCCACAUUGGGACUGAGACACGGCCCAAACUCCUACGGGAGGCAGCAGUGGGGAAUAUUGCACAAUGGGGGAAACCCUGAUGCAGCGACGCCGCGUGAACGAUGAAGUAUUUCGGUAUGUAAAGUUCUAUCAGCAGGGAAGAAAAUGACGGUACCUGACUAAGAAGCACCGGCUAAAUACGUGCCAGCAGCCGCGGCAAUACGUAUGGUGCAAGCGUUAUCCGGAUUUACUGGGUGUAAAGGGUGCGUAGGCGGCAUGGCAAGUCAGAAGUGAAAGCCCGGGGCUCAACCCCGGUAGUGCUUUUGAAACUGCUGAGCUGGAGUACAGGAGAGGUAAGCGGAAUUCCUAGUGUAGCGGUGAAAUGCGUAGAUAUUAGGAGGAACACCAGUGGCGAAGGCGGCUUACUGGACUGUAACUGACGCUGAGGCACGAAAGCGUGGGGAGCAAACAGGAUUAGAUACCCUGGUAGUCC
rnacentral:rRNA from 1 species